rnacentral:rRNA from 1 species
AACGUAGGAGACGAGCGUUAUCCGGAAUUACUGGGCGUAAAGCGCGUGUAGGCGGUUGGGAAAGUCCUACGUGAAAGCGCCCGGCUAAACUGGGCGAGGUCGAAGGAUACUAAACAACUGGAGUGAGGGAGAGGCAGGCGGAAUUCCGGGUGUAGUGGUGAAAUGCGUAGAGAUCCGGAGGAACACCAGUGGCGCAGGCGGCCUGCUGGCCCAUCACUGACGCUGAGACGCGAAAGCAUGGGGAGCGAACGGG